rnacentral:rRNA from 1 species
AAGUUAGCGGCGGAGGGGAGUAACACGUGGGUAACCUACCUAUAAGACUGGAAUAACUUCGGGAAACCGGAGCUAAUGCCGGAUAACAUUUGGAACCGCAUGGUUCUAAAGUAAAAGAUGGUUUUGCUAUCACUUAUAGAUGGACCCGCGCCGUAUUAGCUAGUUGGUAAGGUAACGGCUUACCAAGGCAACGAUACGUAGCCGACCUGAGAGGGUGAUCGGCCACACUGGAACUGAGACACGGUCCAGACUCCUACGGGAGGCAGCAGUAGGGAAUCUUCCGCAAUGGACGAAAGUCUGACGGAGCAACGCCGCGUGAGUGAUGAAGGUUUUCGGAUCGUAAAACUCUGUUAUUAGGGAAGAACAAAUGUGUAAGUAACUGUGCACAUCUUGACGGUACCUAAUCAGAAAGCCACGGCUAACUACGUGCCAGCAGCCGCGGUAAUACGUAGGUGGCAAGCGUUAUCCGGAAUUAUUGGGCGUAAAGCGCGCGUAGGCGGUUUCUUAAGUCUGAUGUGAAAGCCCACGGCUCAACCGUGGAGGGUCAUUGGAAACUGGGAAACUUGAGUACAGAAGAGGAAAGUGGAAUUCCAUGUGUAGCGGUGAAAUGCGCAGAGAUA